CAAAAGGUAGUUUAAUUAAAAUUGUAGCUUUGGAAGUUACAGAUGGGGCAUGCCCCUUUUGA
rnacentral:tRNA from 1 species